UACGAAGGGGGCUAGCGUUGCUCGGAAUCACUGGGCGUAAAGCGCACGUAGGCGGGUCGUUAAGUCGGGGGUGAAAUCCUGGAGCUCAACUCCAGAACUGCCUUCGAUACUGGCGAUCUUGAGUCUGGGAGAGGUGAGUGGAACUCCGAGUGUAGAGGUGAAAUUCGUAGAUAUUCGGAAGAACACCAGUGGCGAAGGCGGCUCACUGGCCCGGUACUGACGCUGAGGUGCGAAAGCGUGGGGGAGCAAACAGG
rnacentral:rRNA from 1 species